rnacentral:lncRNA from 1 species
CAGGCAAGCUGACCAAUGUCAUUGCUGAUCAUAUGUAGUAAACUUUUUGCCAUAUCUUCUUUGGAAAACUCUUUAUCUGCUGUAGUAGAUUUCCCAAAGCUGCUAGCUAUCAGGUUCCCACUUAGCCCCAGGGUCUGGCAGGCGCCUCCAUACACAUCUUUCACCAGCAUGUCUACGUUUGUGUGCUGUCCCUUGGAAGCGAGUUGCAGCAAUUCAUCAAAUUUCUUUGUUUUAGUGAGCAGUGCUCCAAGACCCCAGAAGGUUCCACCUCCAAUUGAGCUCCCUCCUAUCCAUUCAAAUUUGUCUUCCGAUUCUACCUUCACUAUUGAAACCCCAGAGCCAAUGUUCACCAGUAAGUAAGGGAAAAUGUUUGGGUGAUUUGUCUGAAAUCGGAACUCUGUAUCUGAAUCUUUCUGGUAUGCAAACACUUCAUGGGGUAUGUUCCUUAGCAGAAAGUUACAUCCUUUGAUCAGGCAGGUCAUUACAUCUUCUUUAUCUACUUUCAACCCCAACUUCUUCUCAAUAAGAUCUUUAAAUUUAUAGGCACCACCACCUGUAGCUUUGAUGACUUUAGUCUCUGUAUUGACAAGAUGGUCUUUGAUGAAAUCUAGACAAGUUUCGAUAUAAUUGUUCUCAAACUUGAUGAAGUGAAGUCGAG